CCAAUAGCGUAUAUUAAAGUUGUUGCAGUUAAAAAGCUCGUAGUUGAACCUUAGGCCCGUGCGGGCGGUCCGUCCUCAGGGCGAGCACUGCCUCGUCGCGGGUCUCACCUUCUGGCGAGCGUGGAUGCCAUUCACUUGGUGUCUUCGGGAACCAGGACCUUUACCUUGAAAAAAUUAGAGUGCUCAAAGCGGGCUCGUACGCUUGAAUACAUUAGCAUGGAAUAAUGAAAUAGGACGACGGUUCUAUUUUGUUGGUUUCCGGGAUUGUCGUAAUGAUUAAUAGGGAUAGUUGGGGGCAUUCGUAUUCAAUUGUCAGAGGUGAAAUUCUUGGAUUUAUUGAAGACGGACUACUGCGAAAGCAUUUGCCAAGGAUGUUUUCAUUAAUCAAGAACGAAAGUUGGGGGAUCGAAGACGAUCAGAUACCGUCGUAGUCUCAACCAUAAACUAUGCCGACUGGGAAUCGGGCGAUGUUAUUUUUCGUGACUCGCUCGGCGCCCCGAG
rnacentral:rRNA from 1 species